rnacentral:rRNA from 1 species
CACGUAGGGGCCAAGCGUUGUCCGGAUUUAUUGGGCGUAAAGCGCGCGCAGGCGGUCCUUUAAGUCUGAUGUGAAAGCCCACGGCUCAACCGUGGAGGGUCAUUGGAAACUGGGGGACUUGAGUGCAGAAGAGGAAAGCGGAAUUCCACGUGUAGCGGUGAAAUGCGUAGAGAUGUGGAGGAACACCAGUGGCGAAGGCGGCUUUCUGGUCUGUAACUGACGCUGAGGCGCGAAAGCGUGGGGAGCAAACAGG